rnacentral:rRNA from 1 species
GACGUAGGGGGCCAGCGUUGUUCGGAAUUACUGGGUGUAAAGGGCGCGUAGGUGGCCCGGUCAGUCCGUGGUGAAAGCGCGGGGCUCAACCCUGCGUCGGCCAUGGAUACUGCCGCGGCUGGAGCACUGUAGAGGCAGGCGGAAUUCCGGGUGUAGCGGUGGAAUGCGUAGAGAUCCGGAAGAACACCGGUGGCGAAAGCGCUCUGCUGGACCUUAACUGACACUGAGGGACGAAAGCUAGGGGAGCGAAUGGG